UACGUAGGGGGCAAGCGUUGUCCGGAUUUAUUGGGCGUAAAGAGCGUGUAGGCGGCCAGGUAGGUCUGCUGUGAAAACUCGAGGCUCAACCUCGAGACGCCGAUGGAAACCAUGUGGCUAGAGUCCGGAAGAGGAGAGUGGAAUUCCUGGUGUAGCGGUGAAAUGCGCAGAUAUCAGGAAGAACACCCGUGGCUAAGGCGGCUCUCUAGUACGGUACUGACGCUGAGACGCGAAAGCGUGGGGAGCGAACAGG
rnacentral:rRNA from 1 species